AGUGAACGCUGGCGGUAGGCCUAACACAUGCAAGUCGAACGGCAGCACAGUAAGAGCUUGCUCUUACGGGUGGCGAGUGGCGGACGGGUGAGGAAUACAUCGGAAUCUACUUUUUCGUGGGGGAUAACGUAGGGAAACUUACGCUAAUACCGCAUACGACCUACGGGUGAAAGCAGGGGAUCUUCGGACCUUGCGCGAUUGAAUGAGCCGAUGUCGGAUUAGCUAGUUGGCGGGGUAAAGGCCCACCAAGGCGACGAUCCGUAGCUGGUCUGAGAGGAUGGUCAGCCACACUGGAACUGAGACACGGUCCAGACUACUACGGGAGGCCGCAGUGGGGAAUAUUGGACAAUGGGCGCAAGCCUGAUCCAGCCAGACCGCGUGGGUGAAGAAGGCCUUCGGGUUGUAAAGCCCUUUUGUUGGUAAAGAAAGGCAGCAGGUUAAUACCCCGCUGUUCUGACGGUACCCAAAGAAUAAGCACCGGCUAACUUCGUG
rnacentral:rRNA from 1 species